AACGCGAAGAACCUUACCUGGGCUAGAAUGCAGAUAGAUCGCCGGUGAAAGCUGGUUUUGUAGCAAUACACUGUCUGUAAGGUGCUGCAUGGCUGUCGUCAGCUCGUGCCGUGAGGUGUUGGGUUAAGUCCCGCAACGAGCGCAACCCCCAUCACUAGUUGCCAUCAGGUAAAGCUGGGAACUCUAGUGAAACUGCCGUCGUAAGACGCGAGGAAGGAGGGGAUGAUGUCAAGUCAUCAUGGCCUUUAUGCCCAGGGCUACACACGUGCUACAAUGGGGAGGACAAAGGGCAGCGACACAGUGAUGUGAAGCUAAUCCCAAAAACCUCUUCUCAGUUCAGAUUGCAGUCUGCAACUCGACUGCAUGAAGCUGGAAUCGCUAGUAAUCGUAUAUCAGCAAUGAUACGGUGAAUACGUUCCCGGGCCUUGUA
rnacentral:rRNA from 1 species